UACGUAGGGUGCAAGCGUUGUCCGGAAUUAUUGGGCGUAAAGAGCUCGUAGGCGGUUUGUUGCGUCGGCUGUGAAAUCCCGAGGCUCAACCUCGGGUCUGCAGUCGAUACGAGCAAACUAGAGUGUUGCAGGGGAGACUGGAAUUCCUGGUGUAGCGGUGAAAUGCGCAGAUAUCAGGAGGAAAACCGGUGGCGAAGGCGGGUCUCUGGGCAACAACUGACGCUGAGGAGCGAAAGCGUGGGGAGCGAACAGG
rnacentral:rRNA from 1 species